rnacentral:rRNA from 1 species
UACGUAGGGUGCAAGCGUUAAUCGGAAUUACUGGGCGUAAAGCGUGCGCAGGCGGUUUUGUAAGUCUGUCGUGAAAGCCCCGGGCUCAACCUGAGAAUUGCGAUGGAGACUGCAAGGCUUGAAUCUGGCAGAGGGGGGUAGAAUUCCACGUGUAGCAGUGAAAUGCGUAGAGAUGUGGAGGAACACCGAUGGCGAAGGCAGCCCCCUGGGUCAAGAUUGACGCUCAUGCACGAAAGCGUGGGGAGCAAACAGG